AGCGUACACGGUGGAUGCCCUGGCAGUCAGAGGCGAUGAAGGACGUGCUAAUCUGCGAAAAGCGUCGGUAAGGUGAUAUGAACCGUUACAGCCGGCGAUGUCCGAAUGGGGAAACCCAGUGCAAUUCGUUGCACUAUCGUUAACUGAAUACAUAGGUUAACGAGGCGAACCGGGGGAACUGAAACAUCUAAGUACCCCGAGGAAAAGAAAUCAACCGAGAUUCCCCCAGUAGCGGCGAGCGAACGGGGAGCAGCCCAGAGUCUGAAUCAGCUUGUGUGUUAGUGGAACGGUCUGGAAAGUCCGACGGUACAGGGUGAUAGUCCCGUACACCAAAAUGCACAGGCUGUGAACUCGAAGAGUAGGGCGGGACACGUGGUAUCCUGUCUGAAUAUGGGGGGACCAUCCUCCAAGGCUAAAUACUCCUGACUGACCGAUAGUGAACCAGUACCGUGAGGGAAAGGCGAAAAGAACCCCGGCGAGGGGAGUGAAAAAGAACCUGAAACCGUGUACGUACAAGCAGUGGGAGCACCUUCGGGUGUGACUGCGUACCUUUUGUAUAAUGGGUCAGCGACUUAUAUUCUGUAGCAAGGUUAACCGUAUAGGGGAGCCGCAGGGAAACCGAGUCUUAACUGGGCGUUAAGUUGCAGGGUAUAGACCCGAAACCCGGUGAUCUAGCCAUGGGCAGGUUGAAGGUUGGGUAACACUAACUGGAGGACCGAACCGACUAAUGUUGAAAAAUUAGCGGAUGACUUGUGGCUGGGGGUGAAAGGCCAAUCAAACCGGGAGAUAGCUGGUUCUCCCCGAAAGCUAUUUAGGUAGCGCCUCGUGAACUCAUCUUCGGGGGUAGAGCACUGUUUCGGCUAGGGGGUCAUCCCGACUUACCAACCCGAUGCAAACUACGAAUACCGAAGAAUGUUAUCACGGGAGACACACGGCGGGUGCUAACGUCCGUCGUGAAGAGGGAAACAACCCAGACCGCCAGCUAAGGUCCCAAAGUCAUGGUUAAGUGGGAAACGAUGUGGGAAGGCACAGACAGCCAGGAUGUUGGCUUAGAAGCAGCCAUCAUUUAAAGAAAGCGUAAUAGCUCACUGGUCGAGUCGGCCUGCGCGGAAGAUGUAACGGGGCUAAACCAUGCACCGAAGCUGCGGCAGCGACACUAUGUGUUGUUGGGUAGGGGAGCGUUCUGUAAGCCUGCGAAGGUGUGCUGUGAGGCAUGCUGGAGGUAUCAGAAGUGCGAAUGCUGACAUAAGUAACGAUAAAGCGGGUGAAAAGCCCGCUCGCCGGAAGACCAAGGGUUCCUGUCCAACGUUAAUCGGGGCAGGGUGAGUCGACCCCUAAGGCGAGGCCGAAAGGCGUAGUCGAUGGGAAACAGGUUAAUAUUCCUGUACUUGGUGUUACUGCGAAGGGGGGACGGAGAAGGCUAUGUUAGCCGGGCGACGGUUGUCCCGGUUUAAGCAUGUAGGCUGAUUGUCCAGGCAAAUCCGGAUAAUCAAGGCUGAGGUGUGAUGACGAGGCACUACGGUGCUGAAGUAACAAAUGCCCUGCUUCCAGGAAAAGCCUCUAAGCAUCAGGUAACAUUAAAUCGUACCCCAAACCGACACAGGUGGUCAGGUAGAGAAUACCAAGGCGCUUGAGAGAACUCGGGUGAAGGAACUAGGCAAAAUGGUGCCGUAACUUCGGGAGAAGGCACGCUGGUGUGUAGGUGAAGUCCCUGCGGAUGGAGCUGAGACCAGUCGAAGAUACCAGCUGGCUGCAACUGUUUAUUAAAAACACAGCACUGUGCAAACACGAAAGUGGACGUAUACGGUGUGACGCCUGCCCGGUGCCGGAAGGUUAAUUGAUGGGGUUAUCCGUAAGGAGAAGCUCUUGAUCGAAGCCCCGGUAAACGGCGGCCGUAACUAUAACGGUCCUAAGGUAGCGAAAUUCCUUGUCGGGUAAGUUCCGACCUGCACGAAUGGCGUAAUGAUGGCCAGGCUGUCUCCACCCGAGACUCAGUGAAAUUGAACUCGCUGUGAAGAUGCAGUGUACCCGCGGCAAGACGGAAAGACCCCGUGAACCUUUACUAUAGCUUGACACUGAACAUUGAGCCUUGAUGUGUAGGAUAGGUGGGAGGCUUUGAAGCGUGGACGCCAGUCUGCGUGGAGCCAACCUUGAAAUACCACCCUUUAAUGUUUGAUGUUCUAACGUUGGCCCCUGACCGGGGUUGCGGACAGUGUCUGGUGGGUAGUUUGACUGGGGCGGUCUCCUCCCAAAGCGUAACGGAGGAGCACGAAGGUUAGCUAAUCCUGGUCGGACAUCAGGAGGUUAGUGCAAUGGCAUAAGCUAGCUUGACUGCGAGCGUGACGGCGCGAGCAGGUGCGAAAGCAGGUCAUAGUGAUCCGGUGGUUCUGAAUGGAAGGGCCAUCGCUCAACGGAUAAAAGGUACUCCGGGGAUAACAGGCUGAUACCGCCCAAGAGUUCAUAUCGACGGCGGUGUUUGGCACCUCGAUGUCGGCUCAUCACAUCCUGGGGCUGAAGUAGGUCCCAAGGGUAUGGCUGUUCGCCAUUUAAAGUGGUACGCGAGCUGGGUUUAGAACGUCGUGAGACAGUUCGGUCCCUAUCUGCCGUGGGCGCUGGAGAAUUGAGGGGGGCUGCUCCUAGUACGAGAGGACCGGAGUGGACGCAUCACUGGUGUUCGGGUUGUCAUGCCAAUGGCACUGCCCGGUAGCUAAAUGCGGAAGAGAUAAGUGCUGAAAGCAUCUAAGCACGAAACUUGCCCCGAGA
rnacentral:rRNA from 1 species